rnacentral:misc_RNA from 1 species
GUGAAUCAUCGAAUUUUUGAACGCAUAUUGCACUCUCUGGUAUUCCGGAGAGUAUGCCUGUUUGAGGGUCAUUAAAAAGAAUCUUAAACCAAUUUUUUUUGGGCAAAUGAAAUGGGUUGUCCGUGUUUAUAGCGGUAGUUUGAAAUAAAUGGUCAAGUCUCAUUUGGGUCGAGACGCGUAAUAAGAUUAUUUCGCGA